UUAAGUUUAAUUUGACCGUAAGGGUUCUUUGUCUUUGUACCACACGGACGAGGGCUGGUUCAAGUCCUGGGCAGGGGGGUAGGUGUUGGGUCAGGGUCCAGGUGGGUCCAGCCCGGGGCAGAGGGGUAGGUCUCGUGUUAGGGCCUGGGCAGAGGGGUAGGUGUUGGGUCAGGGUCCAGGUGGGUCGGCUGGUACACCGGGCUUCAGAAAUCGUAUUUUCCGAAGCCACAAGAUGGCUGAACUUAAAUAAGUUUAGUUCGACUCUUAGUUUGGUCAGUAUGCUACACAUGGUUGUGCACUUAUUGUAGGUUUUACGUUGUGUACGUCCUGGCACUUAAAGGUUGUAUCAGCGAUGUUGGGCGACGUCACUUCUGUUGGUAUUUGAAGCAAGAUCCCAAACAAACAGAGCCCGCUCACCCCUCCCUUCCGCGUUUCGGGCUUCCAGUAAAACCUAUCAUGAACGCAGCGCAAAACCAGCGGGUUGUGAGGAAAGAUCAGAUGAAUGUGAUCAUUUAUGUUCUGGCGUAGAAUCGCUGAUACAACUUUUAAUGUACGCACUUAUUGAAUGUUGUAUGUCCUCGCACUUAAAAAACGUUCUUAGCAUUGUGUAGCAUCUUAUCCUAGCUACCUUUGUUGUGCACGGGGAAUGGGUUAACCUAACGAUUGUGAGUGCUUGGCACUCGAUUCUAUGAACAUCCCUACUGUACCACUGAUGUAUUGUUGUUUCUCUUUAUCCUGACACAUGUACUUACUGUAUGUUGCUCUGGAUAAAAGCGUCUGCUGAAUGUAAACGACUUAACGCCCUCCUGCCCACAG
ensembl:lncRNA